rnacentral:ncRNA from 1 species
AGUUAAUUUGGCUUUGGUUAUUAUAUAGGCUAUAGCUAAUUUUAUAUAUGUUAGGUUUAAAAUUGAUAAACCGUUUUGUUUUGUAUGUUAUUAGUUUUAUUUAUUUAAUAUUAAUUUAAUUAAUAAUUAAUAUUAUUAAUAUUUUAUUAUAAUAGUGUUAGUGAGCUACGCAGUAUUUAUUUUUAUACAAUGAAUGAAAGUUUGAUAUAGUUAGUGUUUUUAAAGGUGGUAAAAUUGGUGCCAGCAUCUGCGGUUAUACCUAUACUUUAAGUUUAUAUAAAUAUAGUAUAAAAUAAAGUAUUUAAUUUAAUUUGUAGUUAGGAUUAAUGAGUAUAGUAAUUGUAGGUAAAAUUUAAUUGUUGUAAUUAAUCAAAUAAUUCUAGUCUAGAUUCUUUGAAAGUAAGGUUUAUGUAAACUAGGAUUAGAGACCCUAUUAUUCUUUAUUUUAAAAAUUUUUACUUAAGGAGUAUGAACAUAAAUAUUUAAUUUUAUGAAUGUUUGAAAUUUAAAAGGCUUGGCGGUGUUAUAUACCCAUCUAGGGGAGUUUGCUUAUUAAUUUGAUAAUCCUCAAUUUAUACUUACUUUUUUUUGAAUUAUAAACAGUUUGUAUAUUGCUGUCGUCAGUUUAUUUUGUAAAAAUUUUGUAAAAAACUUAAUAACGAUAUGGUUGGGAUGUCAAGUCAAAAUGCAGUUUAUGGAAAAGGUUUAAAGUGAGCUACAAUUUAUAAUAUUUAAUCUGAUUAAGUAAUGUAAUUUAUUUAUGAAGUUGGACUUAGUAGUAAUAAAAAUUAUUUAAAUAGUGGGUUUUUAUGAAUUAGGUUUUAUAAUGCGUACAUAUCGCCCGUCGCUCUUGUUGGAAAAUAAGAUAAGUCGUAACAUAGUAGGGGUAGUGGAAGCUGUUCCUGGAAUGAU